GACGAACGCUGGCGGCGUGCCUAAUACAUGCAAGUAGAACGCUGAAGGCGUAGCUUUCUUCUCUGGAUGAGUUGCGAACGGGUGAGUAACGCGUAGGUAACCUGCCUGGUAGCUGGGGAUAACUAUUGGAAACGAUAGCUAAUACCGCAUAAGAGUAGAUGUUGCAUGACAUUUGCUUAAAAGGUUCAAUUGCAUCACUACCAGUUGGACCUGCGUUGUAUUAGCUAGUUGGUGGGGUAACGGCUCACCAAGGCGACGAUACAUAGCCGACCUGAGAGGGUGGUCAGCCAGACUGGGACGGAGACACGGCACAGACGGCUACGGGAGGCAGCAGUAGGGAAUCGUCGGCAAUGGACGGAAGACAGACCGAGCAACGCGGCGUGAGUGAAGAAGGAUUUCGGAUCGUAGAGCACUGUUGUAAGAGAAGAACGAGUGUGAGAGUGGAAAGUUCACACUGUGACGGUAUCUGACCAGAAAGGGACGGCUAACUACGUG
rnacentral:rRNA from 1 species